rnacentral:rRNA from 1 species
UACGAAGGGUGCAAACGUUGCUCGGAAUUAUUGGGCGUAAAGCGCACGUAGGCGGCUUUGCAAGUCGGAUGUGAAAUCCCUCGGCUCAACCAAGGAAGUGCAUCCGAAACUGCAGAGCUUGAGUACUUAAGAGGAUCGCGGAAUUCCCGGUGUAGAGGUGAAAUUCGUAGAUAUCGGGAGGAACACCAGUGGCGAAGGCGGCGACCUGGACGGACACUGACGCUGAGACGCGAAAGCGUGGGGAGCAAACAGG